UAUUAGGUUGGUGCAAAAAUAAUCGCAGUUUUUGCCAUUGCUCUUAAUAGCAAAAACCGUAAUUACUUUUGCACCAUCCCAAAAUUUAA
rnacentral:miRNA from 1 species